rnacentral:rRNA from 1 species
GAACUGCGAAUGGCUCAUUACACCAGCCUUAAUUUACUUGACCUUGACACCCUACUUGGAUAACUGUGGUAAUUCUAGAGCUAAUACAUGCACCAAAGCUCCAAUCUCCCCAGAGCGGAGCGCAUUUGUUCGCCACAAAACCAAGCGCCUCAGGGCGUUCAGUGUUGACUCAGAACAACUAAGCUGAUCGCACGGUCUUGCACCGGCGACGUGUCUUUCAAGUGUCUGCCUUAUCAACUUUCGAUGGUAGUGUAUCUGACUACCAUGGUGAUGACGGGUAACGGAGGAUAAGGGUUCGACUCCGGAGAAGGGGCCUGAGAAAUGGCCACUACGUCUAAGGAUGGCAGCAGGCGCGCAAAUUACCCACUCUCGACGCGAGGAGGUAGUGACGAGAAAUAACGAGACCGUUCUCAUCUGAGGCCGGUCAUCGGAAUGGGUACAAUUUAAACCCUUUAACGAGUAUCUAUGAGAGGGCAAGUCUGGUGCCAGCAGCCGCGGUAAUUCCAGCUCUCAAAAUGCAUAGAAUUAUUGCUGCGGUUAAAAAGCUCGUAGUUGGAUCUGUGCUGAGCGACCGGUCUGCCCACUGGGCACGCACUGGCUCGCCCGGCUUUCCCUGCCGGUCUCUCUCUGACGUUGGUUUUAACCGGCUGGCGUCAGUGGGCUGGCGAGUUUACUUUGAACAAAUCAGAGUGCUUCAAACAGGCGUCUCGCCUGAAUGUUCGUGCAUGGAAUAAUAGAAGAGGAUCACGGUCCGAUUUUAUUGGUUUUGCUGACCGAGAUAAUGGUUAACAGAGACAAACGGGGCCAUUCGUAUUGCUACGUGAGAGGUGAAAUUCUUGGACCGUAGCAAGACGGACUACAGCGAAAGCAUUUGGCAAGAAUGUCUUCAUUAAUCAAGAACGAAAGUCAGAGGUUCGAAGGCGAUCAGAUACCGCCCUAGUUCUGACCGUAAACGAUGCCAACUAGCGAUCCGCCGGCGGAUUCAUUCGCCCUGGUGGGGAGCUUCCCGGAAACGAAAGUCUUCCGGUUCCGGGGGAAGUAUGGUUGCAAAGCUGAAACUUAAAGGAAUUGACGGAAGGGCACCACCAGGAGUGGAGCCUGCGGCUUAAUUUGACUCAACACGGGGAGACUCACCCGGCCCGGACACCGUAAGGAUUGACAGAUUGAUAGCUUUUUCAUGAUUCGGUGGAUGGUGGUGCAUGGCCGUUCUUAGUUCGUGGAGCGAUUUGUCUGGUUUAUUCCGAUAACGAGCGAGACUCUGGCCUACUAAAUAGUUGGCACAUUGCCACUGUGUGCACAACUUCUUAGAGGGAUUUUCGGUGUUCAGCCGCACGAAAUUGAGCAAUAACAGGUCUGUGAUGCCCUUAGAUGUCCGGGGCUGCACGCGCGCUACACUGGCAAAAUCAGCGUGCUUGUCCUCCCCCGAAAGGGGUUGGUAAACCGAUGAAAAUUUGCCGUGAUUGGGAUCGGACAUUGCAAUUAUUGUCCGUGAACGAGGAAUCCCUUGUAAGGGCGAGUCAUCAACUCGUCCUGAAUACGUCCCUGCCCUUUGUACACACCGCCCGUCGCUGCCCGGGACUGAGCCAUUUCGAGAAAACCGGGGAUUGUUGGCCUGACGGCUCUCGGGUCGUCUAGCCGAUGAGAACCGGCUUAAUCGCACUGGUUUGAACCGGGCAAAAGUCGUAACAAGGUAGCUGUAGGUGAACCUGCAGAAGGAUCA